UUUUCUGAGAGUUUGAUUCUGGCUCAGAACGAACGCUGGUAGCGUGGAUUAGGCAUGCAAGUCGAACGGGAUCGUCUGGAUAGCAAUAUUCGGGCG
rnacentral:rRNA from 1 species